UACGUAGGGCGCAAGCGUUGUCCGGAAUUAUUGGGCGUAAAGAGCUCGUAGGCGGCCUGUCGCGUCGGCUGUGAAAACCCGGGGCUCAACCCCGGGCCUGCAGUCGAUACGGGCAGGCUAGAGUCCGGCAGGGGAGACUGGAAUUCCUGGUGUAGCGGUGAAAUGCGCAGAUAUCGAGAGGAACACCAGUGGCGAAGGCGAGUCCCUGGACAACACCUGACACUGAGGCACGAAAGCUAGGGGAGCAAACAGG
rnacentral:rRNA from 1 species